CCUACGGGGGGCGGCAGUAGGGAAUUUUCCACAAUGCCCGCAAGGGUGAUGGAGCGACGCCGCGUGAGGGAUGAAGGUCUUCGGAUUGUAAACCUCUUUCGUUUGGGAAUAAGGUUUUGGCACUAACAUUGCCAAAAUUUGACGGUACCGAAGGAAGAAGCUACGGCUAACUCUGUGCCAGCAGCCCCGGUC
rnacentral:rRNA from 1 species